rnacentral:rRNA from 1 species
UACGAAGGGGGCUAGCGUUGUUCGGAUUUACUGGGCGUAAAGCGCACGUAGGCGGCUCGUUAAGUCGGGGGUGAAAUCCUGGAGCUCAACUCCAGAACUGCCUUCGAUACUGGCGAUCUUGAGUCCGGAAGAGGUGAGUGGAACUCCUAGUGUAGAGGCGGAAUUCGUAGAUAUUAGGAAGAACACCAGUGGCGAAGGCGGCUCACUGGUCCGGUACUGACGCUGAGGUGCGAAAGCGUGGGGAGCAAACAGG